rnacentral:lncRNA from 1 species
GAUGGUGGUAAAAUUUGUUGAAAAGUGGAGUGCCAAAAUUACUCCGCAGCUUCUUCUAAAGGUAUCCUCAAUCCACCAGCCUUAAGGAUGUCCAUGUGGAUGGAUGUUCACUUAUGAGCCCAUGUGAGUAUAAUGGCAAGCAAAAUCCUGCCCUUGUAUGAGAAUUUAUUCAGCAGAACUAAGUUCCAAACACAAUUCUCCACAUGCACACAACCCAUUUUGGAGGUGGAAUGACCCUUUUGUCUAAUGAAAUCAUGCAUUUGUAAAAGUGACCAAAUCAUACCCCUUCUUUUCUGCUGAAUGAAUGAUAUGUAGUAGAAUUUCCCAUUAAAUUUCUGAUAUUGUGAUCUUAUUCUGUGCAGGUGUAAGUUUUGGAGGUGGAAUGACCUUAAGGAAAUAUUUGUUGCUAUUCCUUUUCAAUUAGAUGGUACAGAUAGUAGCUAUUCGUUUAUUGAACAUAUCGGGUCAUCUCUGCAUACUGAUAUCACUUUCAUUUGGACAUAAUUUCUUAUCUAGUUGAAAAUAUAGUGAUCGACGCUCAGAAAGUCUAUCCUGUUAUUUUGUUUGUAGGAAGGGGGGCGUGCU